CAAGAUCCCUGCUGGAGAAGAAGGGCCACGUGCAAAUUGCAAGCACCUGAAUUAACAUGAUGUAGAGGAAGGCUGAUGUCUGUCACUUCCAUGAAUGUGUCCUCUGAACAAAGAAGGCAAAGGACCUGGGGCAGGCGUUGAGGAGAACAGCCCUGAGGUGGGUCAUCACCGCUGCAGCGGCCCAGGAGCGCUGAAUUCCAGCUUGCGAGGCUGUCCUGUAAGGUGCCCAGCUCACCUGCUCAGUUCCCUGGAGAAAUACUGAGGCCACAGGAAAAUGGGUCCUGAAGACUGAGAGUCCCAGGAAGAGGCAACACUGAGACCAAGACAGAAAUAACUGCACCGAGAGAGACAGGGGCAGAAAAAGGGAGAGGAAGAGGAUGAGGGAGAGAAGGAGAGAAGGGUCCUUGAGGAAUCGCCACACUGUCUUCCACAAUGGUUGCACUAAUUUGCACUCCCACCAACAGUGUAAAGGUGUUCCUAUUUCUCCGGAUCCUCUCCAGCAUCUGUUGUUUCCUGAUUUCUUAAUGCUCACUCAUCUGACUGGCGUGAGAUGAUAUCUCACUGUGGUUUUCAUUUGCAUCUCUCUGAUGACCAGUGAUGAUGAAUGUUUUUUUCAUAUGUUUGUUGACCUCAUAAAUGUCUUCUGUUGAGAAGUGUCUGUUCAGGCUGAUUGUUAACUUGGCAUCAAACUGAAAGUUUUCUUAAAUUUGCUAUUUGAAAGCUUCAAUAAUUAUAAUAAAGAUAACUUGCUUUUGUGUAGUGUUUAAUUA
rnacentral:lncRNA from 13 species